UACGUAGGGACCAAGCGUUGUUCGGAUUUACUGGGCGUAAAGGGCGCGUAGGCGGCGAAUCAAGUCAGCUGUGAAAUCUCCGAGCUUAACUCGGAACGGUCAGCUGAUACUGUUUUGCUAGAGUGCAGAAAGGGCAACCGGAAUUCUUGGUGUAGCGGUGAAAUGCGCAGAUAUCAGGAGGAACACCGGUGGCGAAGGCGGGUCUCUGGGCCGAUACUGACGCUGAGGAGCGAAAGCGUGGGGAGCGAACAGG
rnacentral:rRNA from 1 species